CUUUCGACGGUAAGGUAUUGGCUUACCGUGGCAGUGACGGUUAACGGGGAAUUAGGGUUCAAUUCCGGAGAGGGAGCCUGAGAAACGGCUACCACAUCUAAGGAAGGCAGCAGGCGCGCAAAUUACCCAAUUCUAACAGCAUAAGAGAGGUAGUGACAAGAAAUAACAGUACAAGGCAGUUAAAAUGCUUUGUAAUUGGAAUGAUAGAAAUUUAAAUACUUUUUAAAGUAUCAAUUGGAGGGCAAGUCUGGUGCCAGCAGCCGCGGUAAUUCCAGCUCUAAUAGCGUAUAUUAAAAUUGUUGCAGUUAAAAAGCUCGUAGUUGAAUUUUUGCUAAAAAUAACCGGUCUGCUUUUAUUAAUAAAAGUGGUAUCUUGGUGUGUUUUUAGCAAUAAUGUCCUUUGAAAUGUUUCUUACUUUAUUGUAAAAAGCAAUUUUCAGGAUUUUUACUUUGAGAAAAUUAGAGUGUUUCAAGCAGGCUAACGUUUUGAAUACUGCAGCAUAGAAUAAUAAAAUAGGAUUUUAGUUCUACGUUAUUGGUUUUAAGAACUAAAUUAAUGAUUGAUAGGAGCAGUUGGGGGCAUUUGUAUUUAACUGUCAGA
rnacentral:rRNA from 1 species